CCCUGCUCUGCCCCCGGCGCACAGUCACACCCCGGAGGACAUUUUCCCAGUAGAGAGGGUUUUCGUUCACAAAACGAAUUGGAGAAAAAGGUUUCUGUGUUUCCUUAGCAGAGCGUGGACAUGCUUUCGAGCGGCGAGCUUUAGGAUGAGCAGUGCACUGUCCACAGCUGUUACCAGGGCACCUAAUCCAGGUUUAGUUCAACUUGAAAACUAUGCAUUGGAGCAGGAAGACUGAAGAGGUGUGCCACACAGUAAUGUCAAGGUGUGGAACCCAAGUAGAUACCAGCCAAGAAUAUCAAACUUCAGUUACAGCCAUUGUGGGAGCUCACAGAACCAUCAGAAGCUCCAACAGGGAACCUAGCGAAGAAGCGGAGAGCAACUCCAGGACAAGACCAGGACUCACCAAGGACUCCUAAAAAGACUGAGAACUAAAUUUUCCUUGCUCACAGUUUGUAGCCUUCUUUAUUUCCUUCCUCCAAGUAACACCCAGAUAGUCUUGCAAUGAAGGCAAAACAUAUGGGUCACCCUUGCUAACCUCAAUAAACAGGAGAGACCAUGUGUCUCUCAGUGGCCAGCCCAAGUAACCCUUUUUCCACCUGUCUGGUAGGGUUACCUAGUGAUGUGUGGCCAAAUCCAGAGGAUACUAUCUGUGCUCUGCAGAUCUGGGGUCAUAGCUCUAAGAACUGGAAGUUUAACUCCGUAGAUGAUUGGGACGACUGGACCAGAACACUACCACAUGCACUAACUGAGCCCCAGGAACUGAUACUAUUUUUGGGUCAGUAAAAAUGUACCUUCCCUUGAUCCUCCCCUGAAUAAAAGUCCCUGCACACCAGGGCUCAUGGUCUUUCAA